GACGAACGCUGGCGGCGUGCCUAAUACAUGCAAGUCGAGCGAUGAAGAUUGGUGCUUGCACCAAUUUGAAGAGCAGCGAACGGGUGAGUAACGCGUGGGGAAUCUGCCUUUGAGCGGGGGACAACAUUUGGAAACGAAUGCUAAUACCGCAUAACAACUUUAAACAUAAGUUUUAAGUUUGAAAGAUGCAAUUGCAUCACUCAAAGAUGAUCCCGCGUUGUAUUAGCUAGUUGGUGAGGUAAAGGCUCACCAAGGCGAUGAUACAUAGCCGACCUGAGAGGGUGGUCGGCCACAUUGGGACUUGGACACGGCCCAAACUCCUACGGGAGGCAGCAGGAGGGAAUCUUCGGCAAUUGACGGAAGUCUGAACGAGCAACGCCGCGGGGGUGAAGAAGGGUUUCGGAUCGUAAAACUCUGUUGGUAGAGAAGAACGUUGGUGGGAGUGGAAAGCUCAUCAAGUGACGGUACCUACUCAGAAAGGGACGGCUAACUACGUG
rnacentral:rRNA from 1 species